rnacentral:tRNA from 1 species
GGGGAUAUAGCUCAGUUGGUAGAGUGCUUGCCUCACAUGCAUAAGGCCCUGGGUUUAAUCCCCAGUACCCA